rnacentral:rRNA from 1 species
GGUUAAGCGACUAAGCGUACACGGUGGAUGCCCUGGCAGUCAGAGGCGAUGAAGGGCGUGCUAAUCUGCGAUAAGCGCCGGUAAGGUGAUAUGAACCGUUAUAACCGGCGAUACCCGAAUGGGGAAACCCAGUGUGACUCGUCACACUAUCAUUAACUGAAUCCAUAGGUUAAUGAGGCGAACCGGGGGAACUGAAACAUCUAAGUACCCCGAGGAAAAGAAAUCAACCGAGAUUCCCCCAGUAGCGGCGAGCGAACGGGGAGGAGCCCAGAGCCUGAAUCAGCAUGUGUGUUAGUGGAAGCGUCUGGAAAGGCGCGCGAUACAGGGUGACAGCCCCGUACACAAAAGCGCAUGUGCUGUGAGCUCGAUGAGUAGGGCGGGACACGUGGUAUCCUGUCUGAAUAUGGGGGGACCAUCCUCCAAGGCUAAAUACUCCUGACUGACCGAUAGUGAACCAGUACCGUGAGGGAAAGGCGAAAAGAACCCCGGCGAGGGGAGUGAAAAAGAACCUGAAACCGUGUACGUACAAGCAGUGGGAGCCCCACCACUAAGCCAGUGGUGAACUCCACAUACGCAUCCUUUGCUGAGGAUACGGUUAACGGAGCGAAAGCGACGUUCAACCUCAAAAGAAGCAGAGGGGGCUUAGUGGUGGGGUGACUGCGUACCUUUUGUAUAAUGGGUCAGCGACUUAUAUUCUGUAGCAAGGUUAACCGUAUAGGGGAGCCGGAGGGAAACCGAGUCUUAACCGGGCGUUAAGUUGCAGGGUAUAGACCCGAAACCCGGUGAUCUAGCCAUGGGCAGGUUGAAGGUUGGGUAACACUAACUGGAGGACCGAACCGACUAAUGUUGAAAAAUUAGCGGAUGACCUGUGGCUGGGGGUGAAAGGCCAAUCAAACCGGGAGAUAGCUGGUUCUCCCCGAAAGCUAUUUAGGUAGCGCCUCGUGAAUUCAUCUCCGGGGGUAGAGCACUGUUUCGGCUAGGGGGCCAUCCCGGCUUACCAACCCGAUGCAAACUGCGAAUACCGGAGAAUGUUAUCACGGGAGACACACGGCGGGUGCUAACGUCCGUCGUGAAGAGGGAAACAACCCAGACCGCCAGCUAAGGUCCCAAAGUCAUGGUUAAGUGGGAAACGAUGUGGGAAGGCCCAGACAGCCAGGAUGUUGGCUUAGAAGCAGCCAUCAUUUAAAGAAAGCGUAAUAGCUCACUGGUCGAGUCGGCCUGCGCGGAAGAUGUAACGGGGCUAAACCAUGCACCGAAGCUGCGGCAGCGACGCUUAUGCGUUGUUGGGUAGGGGAGCGUUCUGUAAGCCUGCGAAGGUGGCCUGUGAGGGUUGCUGGAGGUAUCAGAAGUGCGAAUGCUGACAUAAGUAACGAUAAAGCGGGUGAAAAGCCCGCUCGCCGGAAGACCAAGGGUUCCUGUCCAACGUUAAUCGGGGCAGGGUGAGUCGACCCCUAAGGCGAGGCCGAAAGGCGUAGUCGAUGGGAAACAGGUUAAUAUUCCUGUACUUGGUGUUACUGCGAAGGGGGGACGGAGAAGGCUAUGUUGGCCGGGCGACGGUUGUCCCGGUUUAAGCGUGUAGGUGUGUGUUCCAGGUAAAUCCGGUUCACUUUAACACUGAGGCGUGACGACGAGGCACUACGGUGCUGAAGCAACAAAUGCCCUGCUUCCAGGAAAAGCCUCUAAGCAUCAGGUAACAUCAAAUCGUACCCCAAACCGACACAGGUGGUCAGGUAGAGAAUACCAAGGCGCUUGAGAGAACUCGGGUGAAGGAACUAGGCAAAAUGGUGCCGUAACUUCGGGAGAAGGCACGCUGACACGUAGGUGAAGUGAUUUACUCAUGGAGCUGAAGUCAGUCGAAGAUACCAGCUGGCUGCAACUGUUUAUUAAAAACACAGCACUGUGCAAACACGAAAGUGGACGUAUACGGUGUGACGCCUGCCCGGUGCCGGAAGGUUAAUUGAUGGGGUCAGCGCAAGCGAAGCUCCUGAUCGAAGCCCCGGUAAACGGCGGCCGUAACUAUAACGGUCCUAAGGUAGCGAAAUUCCUUGUCGGGUAAGUUCCGACCUGCACGAAUGGCGUAAUGAUGGCCAGGCUGUCUCCACCCGAGACUCAGUGAAAUUGAACUCGCUGUGAAGAUGCAGUGUACCCGCGGCAAGACGGAAAGACCCCGUGAACCUUUACUAUAGCUUGACACUGAACAUUGAGCCUUGAUGUGUAGGAUAGGUGGGAGGCUUUGAAGCGUGGACGCCAGUCUGCGUGGAGCCGACCUUGAAAUACCACCCUUUAAUGUUUGAUGUUCUAACGUGGACCCGUAAUCCGGGUUGCGGACAGUGUCUGGUGGGUAGUUUGACUGGGGCGGUCUCCUCCUAAAGAGUAACGGAGGAGCACGAAGGUUGGCUAAUCCUGGUCGGACAUCAGGAGGUUAGUGCAAUGGCAUAAGCCAGCUUGACUGCGAGCGUGACGGCGCGAGCAGGUGCGAAAGCAGGUCAUAGUGAUCCGGUGGUUCUGAAUGGAAGGGCCAUCGCUCAACGGAUAAAAGGUACUCCGGGGAUAACAGGCUGAUACCGCCCAAGAGUUCAUAUCGACGGCGGUGUUUGGCACCUCGAUGUCGGCUCAUCACAUCCUGGGGCUGAAGUAGGUCCCAAGGGUAUGGCUGUUCGCCAUUUAAAGUGGUACGCGAGCUGGGUUUAGAACGUCGUGAGACAGUUCGGUCCCUAUCUGCCGUGGGCGCUGGAGAACUGAGGGGGGCUGCUCCUAGUACGAGAGGACCGGAGUGGACGCAUCACUGGUGUUCGGGUUGUCAUGCCAAUGGCACUGCCCGGUAGCUAAAUGCGGAAGAGAUAAGUGCUGAAAGCAUCUAAGCACGAAACUUGCCCCGAGAUGAGUUCUCCCUGAGACUUAGAGUCUCCUGAAGGAACGUUGAAGACGACGACGUUGAUAGGCCGGGUGUGUAAGCGCAGCGAUGCGUUGAGCUAACCGGUACUAAUGAACCGUGAGGCUUAACCUU